rnacentral:rRNA from 1 species
GAUGAACGCUGGCGGCGUGCCUAAUACAUGCAAGUCGAGCGAACAGAUGAGGAGCUUGCUCCUCUGACGUUAGCGGCGGACGGGUGAGUAACACGUGGAUAACCUACCUAUAAGACUGGGAUAACUUCGGGAAACCGGAGCUAAUACCGGAUAAUAUAUUGAACCGCAUGGUUCAAUAGUGAAAGACGGUUUUGCUGUCACUUAUAGAUGGAUCCGCGCCGCAUUAGCUAGUUGGUAAGGUAACGGCUUACCAAGGCAACGAUGCGUAGCCGACCUGAGAGGGUGAUCGGCCACACUGGAACUGAGACACGGUCCAGACUCCUACGGGAGGCAGCAGUAGGGAAUCUUCCGCAAUGGGCGAAAGCCUGACGGAGCAACGCCGCGUGAGUGAUGAAGGUCUUCGGAUCGUAAAACUCUGUUAUUAGGGAAGAACAAAUGUGUAAGUAACUAUGCACGUCUUGACGGUACCUAAUCAGAAAGCCACGGCUUACUACGUG